AUACUUACCUGGCAGGGGAGAUACCAUGAUCACGAAGGUGGUUUUCCCAGGGCGAGGCUUAUCCAUUGCACUCCGGAUGUGCUGACCCCUGAGAUUUCCCCAAAUGUGGGAAACUCGACUGCAUAAUUUGUGGUAGUGGGGGACUGUGUUCAUGCUCUCCCCUG
rnacentral:snRNA from 1 species